UGUGAGUUUAGUGAUUGUGACGUCACACGAACAGAAAGACUUUUGAAAGUUGAACUUUGUUAUCACGCCGAUUUUAUAAAAACAUCUAAAUUGAUCUAAAUUUUAUUAAUUUGUGCGAAAUUUGCCGUUUAAGGAUGUUUGCAAUUCUUUAAAUUGAUAUGAUCUCACUAGGUACGUUUCUCAGAUUGGCAAAGAGAAAUUGGGGAUCAGUUUUGUGUCCAGUAGCUUUAUUUGCAUUCAU